rnacentral:rRNA from 1 species
AUUGAACGCUGGCGGCAGGCCUAACACAUGCAAGUCGAGCGGAUGAAGGGAGCUUGCUCCUGGAUUCAGCGGCGGACGGGUGAGUAAUGCCUAGGAAUCUGCCUGGUAGUGGGGGAUAACGUCCGGAAACGGGCGCUAAUACCGCAUACGUCCCGAGGGAGAAAGUGGGGGAUCUUCGGACCUCACGCUAUCAGAUGAGCCUAGGUCGGAUUAGCUAGUUGGUGGGGUAAAGGCCUACCAAGGCGACGAUCCGUAACUGGUCUGAGAGGAUGAUCAGUCACACUGGAACUGAGACACGGUCCAGACUCCUACGGGAGGCAGCAGUGGGGAAUAUUGGACAAUGGGCGAAAGCCUGAUCCAGCCAUGCCGCGUGUGUGAAGAAGGCCUUCGGAUUGUAAAGCACUUUAAGUUGGGAGGAAGGGCAGUAAGUUAAUACCUUGCUGUUUUGACGUUACCAACAGAAUAAGCACCGGCUAACUUCGUG